AUCCUUUUGUAGUUCCUAAGCGUGAUGACGGGGCUUUCACACGCAUGCGUCAGAUGUGCCUCCCUCAAUCCUUGUUACAACAUCAGCCCAUGACCCGUCUGACA